rnacentral:rRNA from 1 species
CUCUCAAAUCUUCGGAUUUGGUUUUGAGUGAUACUCUUAGUCAGACUAAGCGUUUGCUUGAAAUGUAUUGGCAUGAGUGGUACUAGAUAGUGCUGAACUGUUUUCAAUGUAUUAGGUUUAUCCAACUCGUUGACCAGUAAAGUAUUUGUUUAUUACACAGGCUCGGCCUUACAACAACAAACAAAGUUUGACCUCAAAUCAGGUAGGACUACCCGCUGAACUUAAGCAUAUCAAUAAGCGGAGGAAAAGAAACCAACAGGGAUUGCCUUAGUAACGGCGAGUGAAGCGGCAAAAGCUCAAAUUUGAAAUCUAGCACUUUCAGUGUUCGAGUUGUAAUUUGAAGAAGGUAACUUUGGAAUUGGCUCUUGUCUAUGUUCCUUGGAACAGGACGUCACAGAGGGUGAGAAUCCCGUGCGAUGAGAUGUCCAAUUCUAUGUAAAGUGCUUUCGAAGAGUCGAGUUGUUUGGGAAUGCAGCUCUAAGUGGGUGGUAAAUUCCAUCUAAAGCUAAAUAUUGGCGAGAGACCGAUAGCGAACAAGUACAGUGAUGGAAAGAUGAAAAGAACUUUGAAAAGAGAGUGAAAAAGUACGUGAAAUUGUUGAAAGGGAAGGGCUUGAGAUCAGACUUGGUAUUUUGUGUUCCUUAUUCUUUUUGGAUUUGGUUCCUCACAGCUUACCGGGCCAGCAUCGGUUUGGAUGGUAGGAUAAUGACAUUGGAAUGUAGCUUUGCUUCGGUGAAGUGU